GAUGAACGCUGGCGGCGUGCCUAAUACAUGCAAGUCGAGCGAACGGACGAUAAGCUUGCUUCUCUGAUGUUAGCGGCGGACGGGUGAGUAACACGUGGAUAACCUACCUAUAAGACUGGGAUAACUUCGUGAAACCGGAGCUAAUACUGGAUAAUAUUUUGAACCGCAUGGUUCAAAAGUGAAUGACGGUCUUGGUGUCACUUAUAGAUGGAUUCGCGCUGCAUUAGCUAGUUGGUAAGGUAACGGCUCACCAAGGCAACGAUGCAUAGCCGACCUGAGAGGAUGAUCGGCCACACUGGAACUGAGACACGGUCCAGACUCCUACGGGAGGCAGCAGUAGGGAAUAUUGCACAAUGGGCGAAAGCCUGACGCAGCAAUGCCGCGUGAGUGAUGAAGGCCUUCGGAUCGUAAAGCCCUUUUAUUAGGAAAGAAAAGAAGUAUAAGUAACUCUCCAUGUUCUGACGGUACCUAAACAGAAAGCAACGGCUAACUACGUG
rnacentral:rRNA from 1 species